UACGGAGGGGACUAGCGUUGUUCGGAAUUACUGGGCGUAAAGCGCACGUAGGCGGAUUUGUAAGUCAGGGGUGAAAUCCCGAGGCUCAACCUCGGAACUGCCUUUGAUACUGCAAAUCUCGAGUCCGGAAGAGGUGAGUGGAAUUCCUAGUGUAGAGGUGAAAUUCGUAGAUAUUAGGAAGAACACCAGUGGCGAAGGCGGCUCACUGGUCCGGUACUGACGCUGAGGUGCGAAAGCGUGGGGAGCAAGCAGG
rnacentral:rRNA from 1 species